rnacentral:rRNA from 1 species
GCUGGCGGCAGGCUUAACACAUGCAAGUCGAGCGCACCUUCGGGUGAGCGGCGGACGGGUGAGUAACGCGUGGGAACGUGCCCUUCUCUGCGGAAUAGCCUCGGGAAACUGAGAGUAAUACCGCAUACGCCCUUCGGGGGAAAGAUUUAUCGGGGAAGGAUCGGCCCGCGUUGGAUUAGGUAGUUGGUGGGGUAAUGGCCUACCAAGCCGACGAUCCAUAGCUGGUUUGAGAGGAUGAUCAGCCACACUGGGACUGAGACACGGCCCA